AUUGAACGCUGGCGGCAGGCCUAACACAUGCAAGUCGAGCGGAUGAAGAGAGCUUGCUCUCUGAUUUAGCGGCGGACGGGUGAGUAAUGCCUAGGAAUCCGCCUGGUAGUGGGGGAUAACGUUCCGAAAGGAACGCUAAUACCGCGUACGUCCUACGGGAGAAAGCAGGGGACCUUCGGGCCUUGCGCUAUCAGAUGAGCCUAGGUCGGAUUAGCUAGUUGGUGAGGUAAUGGCUCACCGAGGCUACGAUCCGUAACUGGUCUGAGAGGAUGAUCAGUCACACUGGAACUGAGACACGGUCCAGACUCCUACGGGAGGCAGCAGUGGGGAAUAUUGGACAAUGGGCGAAAGCCUGAUCCAGCCAUGCCGCGUGUGUGAAGAAGGUCUUCGGAUUGUAAAGCACUUUAAGUUGGGAGGAAGGGCGUUUGGCUAAUAUCCAGGCGUUUUGACGUUACCAACAGAAUAAGCACCGGCUAACUUCGUGCCAGCCGCCGCCGUAACAC
rnacentral:rRNA from 1 species